UACGGAGGGUGCAAGCGUUGCUCGGAAUUACUGGGCGUAAAGCGUACGCAGGCGGCCCGUUAAGUCAGGGGUGAAAGCCCAAGGCUCAACCUUGGAAUUGCCUUUGAUACUGAGGGCCUUGAGACCGGAAGAGGUCGGCGGAACUGCGAGUGUAGAGGUGAAAUUCGUAGAUAUUCGCAAGAACACCGGUGGCGAAGGCGGCCUGCUGGGCAGUAGCUGACGCUGAUGCGCGACAGCGUGGGGAGCAAACAGG
rnacentral:rRNA from 1 species